rnacentral:rRNA from 1 species
AUGAAUCUGUUUUCUGCCGGUCAACUUACUGAUUCUGGUUGUCGUGUCAUCCUUGAUGUUGACUCUUGUUCUGUUCAGGAUCGUCGCACGCACACUCUGGUUGGGGCUGGCCCUCGCCGCCGAUAUUAUUUUCAUUAUGAUUUUUCUCGUUACACAUGGCUUUAUUUCAUGACUUCACGUAGUGAGGUGUUGUCUAUUUAUAAGCGUUUUGCUGCCAUGGUUCAUACUCAGUUCUCUUCACCUAUUCGUGUUUUUCGUGCUGACUCCGCUGGUGAGUAUAUCUCUAAGAUGUUGCGUGGUGUCCUUGCUGAGCAGGGUACUCUUGCCCAGUUCUCUUGUCCUGGUGCUCAUGCUCAGAAUGGUGUGUCUGAGCGCAAGCAUCGUCACCUUCUUGAGACGGCUCGUGCUAUGAUGAUCGCCGCCUCUCUUCCGCCUUAUUUUUGGGCUGAGGCUAUCUCCACUUCUGUCUAUCUCAUCAACCUUCAGCCAUCUGCUGCUUUGCAGGGUGGUGUUCCUUUUGAGCGUCUGUUUGAUCGCUCUCCCGAUUAUUCGAUGCUUCGCUUGUUUGGUUGUGUUUGCUAUGUUCUUCUUGCCCCUCGCGAACGCACCAAACUGACCGCUCAGUCUGUUGAGUGUGUCUUCUUAGGCUACAGUGAUGAGCAUAAGGGCUAUCGUUGUUGGGAUCCUGUCGGUCGUCGGAUGCGUAUCUCUCGAGAUGUGACUUUUGAUGAGUCUCGUCCUUUUUACCCACGCCCAUCUUCCUCGGUCUUUUCAGUGGAGGAUAUCUCUUUUCUCACUUUUCCUGACUCCCCUAUCACUCCCGUCGCGCCUGUGCUUAUUCGUCCCACUCCCUCUGCUUCUCCACCCCUCGCCGAUUCACCGCCACCAUCUUCCCCGGUCUCCGCACCUAGCAUGUCACCGGAUUCUACACCUUCAUCUCCGGUGACUUCUUCGUCGCCACCCCCUGAUUCUCCCUUGGCGAUUCCUCCUUCUCUUGUUCCAUCUCUUCCUCAGCAUUACACUCGUCGUUCACGACCUGUGGAUGCUUCCUUGGAUGAGUCGUCCUCUUCCUCUCAGCCUACUUAUGGCUUGCGUUCUUGUCCUCGUCCGCCUAUUGAUCGCUUUGGAUUUCCCACCGCUGUUGCUGUUCUUGAGCCGACUUCUUACCGUCAGGCUGUUGUUCAUCCUGAAUGGCAGUUUGCGAUGGCAGAGGAGAUUGCUGCUCUUGAACGCACUGGUACCUGGGAUCUUGUUUCUCUUCCUCCCGGAGUCAGUCCCAUCACUUGUAAGUGGGUCUACAAGGUUAAGACUCGCUCCGAUGGUUCUCUUGAGCGUCACAAAGCUUGUCUCGUGGCUCGUGGUUUUCAGCAGGAGCAUGGUCGUGAUUAUGACGAGACUUUUGCUCCUGUGGCCCAUAUGACCACUAUUCGUACACUUCUUGCCGUUGCCUCUGCACGCCACUGGUCUAUAUCUCAGCUUGAUGUUAAGAAUGCCUUUCUUAAUGGUGAGCUGCGUGAGGAGGUGUACAUGCAGCCACCACCUGGGUAUUCUGUUCCUGAUGGCAUGGUGUGUCGUCUUCGUCGCUCUCUCUAUGGCCUUAAGCAAGCCCCUCGCGCCUGGUUUGAGCGUUUUGCUUCUGUGGUCACUACUGCUGGUUUUUCAGCAAGUGUUCAUGAUCCCGCAUUGUUUAUUCACCUUUCUCCUCGUGGCCGGACUCUUCUUUUUCUCUAUGUUGAUGAUAUGGUCAUCACUGGGGAUGACCCCGAGUAUAUUGCCUUUGUAAAGGCCCGUCUUAGUGAGCAGUUUCUUAUGUCUGAUCUUGGACCUCUUCGCUAUUUUCUUGGGAUUGAAGUCUCUUCUACCUCUGAUGGCUUUUUUAUAUCUCAGGAAAAGUAUAUCCAGGAUCUUCUUGCUCGUGCUGCUCUUUCUGACGAGCGCACUGUUGAGACUCCUAUGGAGCUCAAUGUUCACCUUCGUGCUACUGAUGGUGAUCCUCUCCCUGACCCGACGCGUUAUCGUCAUCUCGUUGGCAGUCUUGUCUAUCUAGCUGUCACUCGUCCGGACAUCUCUUAUCCGGUUCUAUUCUGA